rnacentral:rRNA from 1 species
GAUGAACGCUGGCGGCAUGCCUAAUACAUGCAGGUCGUGCGAGAAACUACUUUCGGGUAGUGGAAAGCGGCGGACGGGUGAGUAACGCGUAGAAACAUACCCCAAGGUGAGGGAUAAGCAUCGGAAACGGUGUCUAAUACCGCAUACUGUCUACGGACAAAAGAUUUAUCGCCAUGGGAAUGGUCUGCGUCUGAUUAGCUAGUUGGUAGGGUAAAGGCCUACCAAGGCGAUGAUCAGUAGCUGGUUUGAGAGGAUGAUCAACCACACUGGAACUGAGACACGGUCCAGACUCCUACGGGAGGCAGCAGUAGGGAAUUUUCCACAAUGGGCGAACGCCUGAUGGAGCAAUGCCGCGUGCGGGAUGAAUGCCUUCGGGUUGUAAACUGCUUUUAUGUGCGAAGAAUUUGACUGUAACACAUGAAUAAGGAUCGGCUAACUACGUGCCAGCAGCCGCGGUAA